rfam:Triticum aestivum genome assembly, contig: Triticum_aestivum_CS42_TGACv1_scaffold_223036_3B
UUCAUACUCCCUCCGUCCGAAAAAGCUUGUCCCUCAAAUGUAUGUAUCUAGAACUAACUUGGUGCUAGAUACAUCCAUUUGAUGGACAAGCUUGCGACAAGCUUUUUUGGAUGGAGGAAGUGCGAU